ACAAUGUUCCCUCCCCGGGUCCUCCCCAUCCUAGCGGUCGUAUGAUGGAAACAGAACUCCAGUCCCUUUGUCCCCUGUUCCCGCCACCCAACCAUGGGGCUUCCCACGUCUAGUGAUAGAACCGGCCUUCUUCCCAGAGAGCCCGCCAAACUCUGCCAUUGUCCCCAAAGGAUGUCCACACCAACCCCCAGGGAUCCCCCGCAACGGUACCUGCCUCGAACAGCCUCAGUUUGUAGGGUCCCCGUGUGAAACCAGGCAAGGGAAGCGUCUCCUUUUGGGACACAAAUGCUCUCCCUGGCCGAUGCUCGUCUAUACGAACAGCGGCCACCCAUGGAAGCAUUCAUUAAUUACUUCCGUUGCGGUUUCACAUUUUUGUUGCCAGUUGCCAAUGUUCUAAUUGAUCGGUGCAAACAUUCCAAUGGGCUCUGGGGAGGUCCUUGUUAGAAAACUGAACGAGGUGG